rfam:Ruminococcus flavefaciens 007c Rf007c_contig00011, whole genome shotgun sequence.
UAGAACUAUUAUUCUGAUGAAUCGAAUGAGGGAGUAACGUCCUGAAAGGUUCACGUUAAAACUACGGACGGCUAUGCAGUGUGAAAUGCAGAGGUCGUAAGCCCGUGGAAGUCGUGCGAGAGCAGUCCUAACGAAGAAAUUUAUUUCAGACGAGGAAAGUGCCGCAGAGGUGCGGUGUACUGCCCAUAGUGCGGUCGGCGGUGCA